rnacentral:tRNA from 1 species
GGCUGGGUAGCUCAGUUGGUUAGAGCACACGACUCAUAAUCGUGGGGUCGCGGGUUCAAGUCCCGCUCCAGCUA